GCCUGGAUAGUGCAGUUGGUUAGAGCGUGUUGCUGAUCAUCCCAAGGUUGCAGGUUUGAUCCCUAUUUGGGGCA